GAUGAACGCUGACAGAAUGCUUAACACAUGCAAGUCUUUGGCGAAGCUGUGCUUGCACAGCCUAGCCAAGGCGGACGGGUGAGUAACGCGUAAGGGACUUGCCCUGCAGUCAGGGAUAACAGACGGAAACGACUGAUAAAACCUGGUAAAGUCAGGCGGACUCAUGUCCAGCCUGAUGAAAAGGAAUGCUGCAGGAGAGCCUUGCGUCCUAUUAGCUUGUUGGUGGGGUAACGGCCCACCAAGGCGAUGAUAGGUAGCCGGCCUGAGAGGGUGGACGGCCACAAGGGGACUGAGAUACGGCCCUUACUCCUACGGGAGGCAGCAGUGGGGAAUAUUGGACAAUGGGGGCAACCCUGAUCCAGCAAUUCUGUGUGCACGAUGAAGGUCUUCGGAUUGUAAAGUGCUUUCAGCAGGGAAGAAAAAAAUGACGGUACCUGCAGAAGAAGCGACGGCUAAAUACGUGCCAGCAGCCGCGGUAAUACGUAUGUCGCGAGCGUUAUCCGGAAUUAUUGGGCAUAAAGGGCAUCUAGGCGGCCGGAUAAGUCUGGGGUGAAAACUUGCGGCUCAACCGCAAGCCUGCCCUGGAAACUAUGCGGCUAGAGUGCUGGAGAAGUGGACGGAACUGCACGAGUAGAGGUGAAAUUCGUAGAUAUGUGCAGGAAUGCCGAUGAUGAAGAUAGUUCACUGGACGGCAACUGACGCUGAAGUGCGAAAGCUAGGGGAGCAAACAGG
rnacentral:rRNA from 1 species